GCCUUGCACCACCAACUUUUUGUUACUGUUGGCCAGUUUGUCCUGGAGAGGGUGAUACCAAGAACUUUUACUACAGAGAACAAUCAGACCCAACAGAGAACAGUAAGUUUUGAUAUUUUACAACCUGCUAAAUACCAACAGGACGUUCACAGAACCACUGACUGACACAAUGGAAGCUGUUAAAGAUGACAAGAUAAAACAAACAGAGGACGACAGAAAAGCCACCAGAAUCAUAG